rnacentral:lncRNA from 1 species
UCAUAGGAUCUGACGUGUUGGAUGUUGUAGAUCCUGCAGUUGAAGAUGCUGUGACGGAUGCUUCAGUUGCUAUUGACGAGGAGCAGAAAGAACCAGAAACCAUAGCAUCUGACACUUCAGAUAUUGUAGAUCCUGCAGUUGAAGAUGAUGUAACUGAUGCUUCAGUUGCGAUCGACGACGAGCAGAAAGAACCAGAAACCAUAGCAUCUGACACUUCAGAUAUUGUAGAUCCUGCAGUUGAAGAUGAUGUAACUGAUGCUUCAGUUGCGAUCGACGACGAGCAGAAAGAACCAGAAACCAUAGCAUCUGACACUUCGGAUAUUGUAGAUACUGCAGUGGAAAGCUCAGAGGUAGAAGCAGAAGCAAGUACUGAUGUAUUGUCU